GUGGGGAAUAUUGGACAAUGGGCGAAAGCCUGAUCCAGCCAUGCCGCGUGAGUGAUGAAGGCCUUAGGGUUGUAAAGCUCUUUCAGUAGGGAAGAUAAUGACGGUACCUACAGAAGAAGCCCCGGCUAACUUCGUGCCAGCAGCCGCGGUAAAACGAAGGGGGCUAGCGUUGUUCGGAUUUACUGGGCGUAAAGCGCACGUAGGCGGAUUGGUCAGUUAGAGGUGAAAUCCUGGAGCUCAACUCCAGAACUGCCUUUAAUACUGCCAGUCUAGAGUCCAGAAGAGGUGAGUGGAACUCCUAGUGUAGAGGUGGAAUUCGUAGAUAUUAGGAAGAACACCAGUGGCGAAGGCGGCUCACUGGUCUGGUACUGACGCUGAGGUGCGAAAGCGUGGGGAGCAAACAGGAUUAGAUACCCUUGUAGUCC
rnacentral:rRNA from 1 species